AGAGUUUGAUCCUGGCUCAGGAUGAACGCUAGCGGCAGGCCUAAUACAUGCAAGUCGAACGGCAGGCGUCCCUUCGGGGUCGCCGAGAGUGGCGCACGGGUGCGUAACGCGUAUGCAACCCACCCGCCGCCGGGGGAUAGCCCGGGGAAAUCCGGAUUAACCCCCCAUGAGGAGCGGACGAGGCAUCUCGUCCGUUUCAAAACCACGGUGGCGGCGGACGGGCAUGCGUGCCAUUAGAUAGUUGGCGGGGCGACGGCCCACCAAGUCGACGAUGGCUAGGGGAUCUGAGAGGACGGUCCCCCACACUGGUACUGAGACACGGACCAGACUCCUACGGGAGGCAGCAGUAAGGGAUAUUGGUCAAUGGGGGGAACCCUGAACCAGCCAUGCCGCGUGAGGGAGUGAGGCCCUACGGGUCGUGAACCUCUUUUGCCGGGGGAUAAGGGCGUCCACGCGUGGGCGUUUGAAGGUACCCGGAGAAUAAGCAUCGGCUAACUCCGUGCCAGCAGCCGCGGUAAUACGGAGGAUGCGAGCGUUAUCCGGAUUUAUUGGGUUUAAAGGGUGCGCAGGCGGGCGGUUAAGUCAGCGGUGAAAGGCAGGGGCUCAACCCCGGCAGUGCCGUUGAUACUGGCCGUCUUGAAUGCGGUCGAGGCCGGCGGAAUGUGGCGUGUAGCGGUGAAAUGCAUAGAUAUGCCACAGAACACCGAUAGCGAAGGCAGCUGGCCGGGCCUGCAUUGACGCUGAGGCACGAAAGCGUGGGGAUCGAACAGGAUUAGAUACCCUAGUAGUCCACGCUGUAAACGAUGAAUGCUAGGUAUCGGGGCGACCCGGUGCCGAAACUAACGCGAUAAGCAUUCCGCCUGUGGAGUAUGCACGCAAGUGUGAAACAUAAAGGAAUUGACGGGGGCCCGCACAAGCGGUGGAGUAUGUGGUUUAAUUCGACGCAACGCGAAGAACCUUACCAGGCCUUGACAUCCCUUGCGAAAUCCUGGAGACAGGAGGGAGGCUAUCAAGGAGACAGGUGGUGCAUGGUUGUCGUCAGCUCGUGUCGUGAGAUGUUGGGUUAAGUCCCGCAACGAGCGCAACCCUUGUCUUUAGUUACUAACAUCAAGUUGAGGACUCUAGAGAGACUGCCGGUGAUAAACCGGAGGAAGGUGGGGAUGACGUCAAAUCAUCAUGCCCCUUAUGGCCUGGGCUACACACGUACUACAAUGGCUGUUACAACGUGCAGCGACAGCGCAAGCUGAAGCGAAUCACUGAAAGACAGUCUCAGUUCGGAUUGAGGUCUGCAACCCGACCUCAUGAAGUUGGAAUCGCUAGUAAUCGAGGAUCAGCAUGCCGCGGUGAAUACGUUCUCGGG
rnacentral:rRNA from 1 species